rnacentral:rRNA from 1 species
UACGGAGGGGCUAGCGUUGUUCGGAAUUACUGGGCGUAAAGCGCACGUAGGCGGCUUUGUAAGUUAGAGGUGAAAGCCCAGGGCUCAACCCUGGAAUUGCCUUUAAGACUGCAUCGCUUGAACAUCGGAGAGGUAAGUGGAAUUCGAGUGUAGAGGUGAAAUUCGUAGAUAUUCGGAAGAACACCAGUGGCGAAGGCGCUUACUGGA